AGUAAGAUUUGUGGAGGAGCAGCAUGUGGAUUUUCAGAUGCUGGAACCAGUUCUAAAGAUGCGAAAGAACGGUCAGCAUCGAUGCGGAAGCUUUUGAUGGCAGUUGUACUUUGUAUUGUCUUCAUGAGCGUAGAAGUUGUUGGAGGAAUCAAAGCCAAUAGUCUUGCCAUCUUGACAGAUGCAGCUCAUUUGUUAUCAGAUGUUGCAGCCUUUGCAAUCUCCUUGUUUUCACUUUGGGCAUCAGGAUGGGAGGCAACCCCACGUCAGUCUUAUGGUUUUUUUAGGAUUGAAAUACUUGGUGCACUGAUUUCCAUCCAGAUGAUAUGGCUUC
rnacentral:misc_RNA from 1 species